rnacentral:rRNA from 1 species
UGCCAGCAGCCCGCGGUAAUACAGAGGGUGCGAGCGUUAAUCGGAUUUACUGGGCGUAAAGCGUGCGUAGACGGCUUUUUAAGUCGGAUGUGAAAUCCCCGAGCUUAACUUGGGAAUUGCAUUCGAUACUGGGAAGCUAGAGUAUGGGAGAGGAUGGUAGAAUUCCAGGUGUAGCGGUGAAAUGCGUAGAGAUCUGGAGGAAUACCGAUGGCGAAGGCAGCCAUCUGGCCUAAUACUGACGCUGAGGUACGAAAGCAUGGGGAGCAAACAGGAUUAAAUACCCUGGUAGUCC